GCAGGAUCGACUAUGUCGAAUAAAAUUCUAGGUAGAAUUUUGAUAAUGACAUUGUCUGCCUAUGUGUCUUGACCAAAUUACGUGCCAGCAGUCGCGGUAAUACGUAGAAGACUAGUGUUAUUCAUGUUUAAUCGGUUUAAAGGGUACCUAGACGGUAAAUCAAGCCUAAAAUUAAAUGAAGGGACUAAUUUACUAGAGUUACUUAUGAGGGGGUAUUAAAGUACUGCUGGUGUAGAGAUGAAAUUCUGUCAUACCUCUUUUCUAUAGAAAAAUAAUGGCACAGGUAUAGGCGAAAGCAUCCCCUUAUGUGAUAACUGACGUUGAGGGACGAAGGCUUUGUGUAGCGAACAGGAUUAGAUACCCCAGUAGUCAAAGCAGAAAAUGAUGAAUGUCAUAGAUUAGAUAAAUAAGUUUAUUCUAUAAAUGAAAGUGUAAGCAUUCCACCUCAAGAGUAAUUUGGCAACAUUGGAACUGAAAUCAUUAGACCGUUUCUGAAACCAGUAGUGAAGUAUGUUGUUUAAUUUGAUGAUCCGCAAAAAACCUUACCACAAUUUGAAUAUUUAUAUCUUUUAUUGUUUUUUUUUAUUUUCUUCUGAUUUUAAAAAGAGGCGAUAUGAUAUAUUUACAAGCGUUGCACGGCUGUCUUCAGUUAAUGUCGCGAGACUUUGGUUAGU
rnacentral:rRNA from 1 species